AUUGAACGCUGGCGGCAGGCCUAACACAUGCAAGUCGAGCGAGCGGCGGACGGGUGAGUAAUGUAUGGGAAUCUGCCUGAUGGCGGGGGAUAACUACUGGAAACGGUAGCUAAUACCGCAUACCAUCAGAUGUGCCCAGAUGGGAUUAGCUAGGAGGUGGGGUAAUGGCUCACCUAGGAGACGAUCCCUCGCUGGUCUGAUAGGAUGACCAGCCACACUGUAACUGCGACACGGUCCAGACUCCUACGGGAGGCAGCAGUGGGGAAUAUUGCACAAUGGGCGCAAGCAUGAUGCAGCCAUGCCGCGUGUGUGAAGAAGGCCUUCGGGUUGUAAAGUACUUUCAGCGAGGAGGCGUUACUCGCAGAAGAAGCACCGGCUAACUCCGUGCCAGCAGCCGCGGUAAUAC
rnacentral:rRNA from 1 species